rnacentral:piRNA from 1 species
UGAGGAUACCAUUGGCUGUAAUUGCACA